rnacentral:rRNA from 1 species
GCCAGCAGCCAUAUCACCCUGCAACUCACAACUGGCAGCCAACUGAAGCUCAGCAGGUGUGAGCCUGGGUACCUGGAUGGGAGACCUGCUGGGAAAAACUAAGGUUGCUGCUGGAA